GGGGGGCAUCAACUAGCUGAGAUGUUACCCGAUACAAUCUUCCUAAAAUGAACAUUAUCUUAUUGUUUUCUUGCAUUGCUAUAGUAAGCUAUGCAAGUCAGCAAUGAGGUACAUUUAA